AGUGACGCUCCGGAGCCGUCGCCAGGGUGGUAAUACCUGGUGCAGAGCUUGAGUCUGGCCAGCGGGUCAGGCUCUUGCUAGAUCAGCACCGGAGGUGGAAGACUGGUAAGUGAUUUUACUGGGUUUUCUCCUGCGCCUGAUAUUAAUGGCUGGCCGGGGCUCUGUGCAGCAUUAUGGCCAGCCCGAGAAGUGAGUGGGCGAGGGUGGAACCAGAAGGAGUCCCCAUCAAACCCCGUGGCGCUUGACACCCAGUGCAGCUGGAGAAGGCCCUGGGAUCCCGGCUUACCGUCUUAUCCACUCGCAAAAUCUGUCUCCGACUUGGAACUCGACCUCGGGUCACCAAGUGUCCCUGGGCGAGGCCGAAGACACCGUGUACCGUGACUCGGCGUUGUGCCGAGUUUCUCUACCAAUGAUCAACGAGUUUCCUAUCUCCCAUUGGCAGCGUUUGGCCACUCUUGAUUCCUGAGUACUGUUUCCGUAGUUCUGGGGUGCCGUGCCUGGAAGGCAGGAGGUUGGCUGAAGAAGACAUCUUUUACAAACAUUUAGGAAGUGAGAUGGGGAGGUUCCUUCCUGAUUUAGAAUUAAUUGAAGGUUCCUCCCGCCAUUUGAAUUGGAUGAGAAGAACGGUCUUUGUUUUCAUGGCUGAGACAUAAGAGAACAAGCUUGUAAUUUCAUGCUUGGGCAUUAGAUGCAUUUUUGGAAAGCAGUGAUCAGUAAGUAUGUGUGCUUUCAGAAAGGAAUGCUUGCGUUCUGCUCCAGGCUUUGUCGAUAAUGAAGGAUUCAGGAGAAUUUUGGAUGGAGGUCUGAGGUAGCCAGAAUAGUUGUAAAGAGAAAUUGCUUCCGACAAAGGGAUAAUGUGAGGAAAGGUGCUCAUUUAAGAUUUGAAAGAUGUGAUGUAGUGAACCUUGGCGACUUCUCUUAAGUAAUGCAAUUUCUUAGGUAACUAGUUUUCACUUGCCACCUUAUAUUUAGAUAAUUACCUCCCCACCAACCCCCGUAAAAGGCAGCUGACUGUUAUUUUUUCAAAACAGUCAGUUCCCGAAAGAGUUGUAGGUACUAUUGCAUUUUUUUUAUGGGUAUGCUCCUCAUACCCAUAAAAACAUUUUCUUUAUCGGAGCAUACCGAUAAAGAAAAAUGCAAUAUGUUCAAUUCAAGGCCCCUGUUAACACCAGGCCAGUGUCUUCUUAACCUUUUGAGAGUAAUGCAACAAACCAUAUUUAGGACAGCACAUUGAUUUUCUGGCCUUGUUGGUUAAUAAUUCAACAAACUUAUAAUCGCCCCAUUAAUCCCAAUCUUGACAUUUUGUUGAAUCUUGUAUUUUUUCUUUAUUUCUCCAGUUGAAAGUAUUAUAAAUUACUUCAGGGAUAUUAUGUAUUAUAUCUGUACAGCAACUAGUUUUUAGAGGCAGUGAUUUCUCUCUUUGAAUUGCUCUUGAAUGUAGCCAAUCAUUAAUACUUACCCCAAGUAGAUACUGUCUGCCAGGCACUUUACAUUUAUUAUUUUAUUUAAUGUUUAAUAAAAAAAGAAAAUCACAAAAAUUGUAUUAUUUCUAUUUUGCAAAACAUUUUAUACUGAGACCCAAAGAGGUUGUGAUUUUCCAUAAAUUAUACAAUUAAAUGGCACAAUUAAAAUUUGAAUCCAGUCUACCUGACUCUAAAUUUUGGCUCUUUUUACUGUGCUCUAUACCUUUAUAAGUAAACAUAACAGUAUCAUUAUUUUCACUCCAGGUAAAAAUGGAUAGAUAGUAUGUCACAUUUAGAAAUCAAGUGGAUAGCAAAACUUGAGGAUAAAAGGGACUUAAGGGAUGUGUUCAUCACCAUAAGGUAAUUUUGACAUCUAAAUAAUGCAGUUUCUUUAGUGCCUUUAUCCUUGGCCAGUUUUAUUAUCCUAAUUCAAACAAAUGCCUAUACUGUACAUUAGCAUAACACUUGGGGCAAAUGCAGAAGAUCUGGAGACCAUCAGCAAGCAUAUUGGUGACUGAGUCCAGAGUAUCAGCUAACUAUCUCUUUAGACAGCUUUUCACACACACAUUUGUAUACAUGUAUAUUUGUGUGUGCAUGUGUGUGUGUGUGUGUAGGGAGAAAGAAUGAGUAAAUGAGCACAAAUUCAUAAAAUUCAACUUUGUAAUGAUUUAUAAGGAAUUAUUAGCAAAACUGUGCUGUUCCACUCACGUAACCCUCAAACAGAUGGGGAUUAUCACAUAGUUUCAGGAAUAUGCUUUAUUAAACCUGCCCAUCCCAAUACCCAAUUCUAUAUAGAGAAACAGAAAUAGCCUAAUUUUCAGAGAAUUUACAAAAAUUUAGUUGAAAUGACCAAUACUAGAAAUGACAUAGAAGUUAAUUCUAAAGAAUAUCCUGUUUUACAACUGUAUAGGUAUAGCUAGCCUGAAAUACUAAUGUGUAUUUGAUUACAUUGCAUUGACUUGUAGGCAGAUCCCGUAGGCAGAUCUCAGGGAUAUUUUGCUAUCAAAUUUCAGUGCUUAUGAAGUUUGGGAUUAUGUCUGUUUUGUUCGUCAUCUCAAACCCAGCAUCUAGCACUGUGCCUGGCGUGUAAUAGAAGCUCAAUAAAUAAGUCAGGAACCAUGACUCAUGACUGUAACCCCAAUACUUUGGGAGGCUAAGGCAAGAGGAUUUGAAUCCAGAUCCUCUAAAUUUUGGCUCUUUUUACUAUGUUCUAUACUUCCUUUAAUAAAUAAACAUAGGUCACAGUGAACUAUGAUCAUACUACUGCACUCUAGCCUGCACAACAGAGUAAGACCCUGUCUCUAAAAAAUAAAAAAUAAGCAUUUAUUGAAUGAAUGAUUCCUUUUUAAAAUGUUAUUUAUCCACCGAGAAGUAUUUGUACAUUUUUUAAAGGAUUUACCACAUAAAUAAAUAUUUAUUUUUACUCACCUUGCCCCUGAAAUACAGUGUCCACUCCACACUCAUUCAUAAAAGGCAAUGUGCUGUCCUGCAAAGAAGACUGGACUGUGAGACAGGAGAUGAGAGAAUAUCUAAUAUUUUUCUGUGUUUAUUCUCUGCUAUUCAGUGUUAAAUUACUCCUUACAGCACAGUGGGUAAGUAUUAUUAUCCUCCUUUUACAGAUGCUAAAACUGAGGCAAAGAUAAGCUUUGUAAAUUGUCGUAGGUUACGCAUAGUCAUUAAACACAGCUAUGAUUUGAAUGAAGGGCUCUGAUCCCAAAAGCGAUAAUCUUAACCACUUUGCUAGCCUCCAGUUGAAUUUUUAAUCCUGGUUCAGCUGCUAAAUGUGUGCAAAAGCUCUGGGUAUCAUGUUUCUCAUCUAUAACAUAUAGGAGUUUGAUGGAUUAUAUUAUCUGUAAGGUCCCUCCUACCUCAAAAAUCCUCUGACUUUAGUUGACUCCUAAGUAUUAUCUGAAUAUAGCAGUUCUGGAGUGCCAGAAAACCCUCAUCAAUUUUGAUGUGUUUUAUGUAAGCUUUUAUAUGUGUUCACGUCUUCCACAUUGGUGGACACACAAUCAUGUUUUUGCAAUAGGAAGAAUAGAGUUAAAAAAAUCACAGCCAUGCUUUUUUUUUUUUUUUUACCAGCUAUGACACUAAUAAGUCACUGAACCUUUGUGAGCUUAUGUUUUCAUAUGUAAAAUGGAUCCAUAGGAUUGCUGUGAGCGUUAAGUGGGUUGACUUAUAAAGCCUCAAACGUGUUGUCUGAUACACAAUUGCUGAUAAAUAAAUAUUGAUUCUUUUUCUUGCUCAGUCUUGCAAGGAUAAAAGAUUAGUGGAUAUGAAAAAUGCUUUAUAAAUUAGACAAAGGUGAAGAAUAUUUUCACUUACAGUCUACUAGGAGAGAGAAAGUUAUAUAAACAAAUAAUUAUAUGUAGGGCAAUUUACAUACAUCAUUGAACACAAAACAUGGGAAUGCAAAGAAAAGAGAUUUUUUUUUUUCCAGGAGGGCAGAUGAGGAAAGACCUCAUAAAAAAGGUAAUAUUGAGUUUGUGCCAUAUAGGAUGGAAAGGAUUUUGGCAGGGGAACAAGAGGGACAAGUGUUCUACUGGAAGAUGCAAAGGUGUCAGAAAACAGAAAUAGUACCUAGGUCACUUUGGCUAUGUAAGAUGGAUGAAGGCUGGUAAUAAAGCUGAGGUAAAAAGCUGAGUUUAGGACAAGCUGUAGAUAACUGUGGGCAAGUUAGAGAUGUUAGGCUUUUAACGAUAAGCAAUAAUCUGUGUGUAUAACUAGGAUGGGGUGGAGGAUGGAGUUGGCAUUUGUUUUCUUUGUUAUGGAAAAACGCCCAUUUGUUACAGAAACAUUAGAGUGUACAAAUAUGCCAAAAAGGAAAGAGAAAGGAAGAGUGGCCCAUGACCCCA
rnacentral:lncRNA from 1 species